GUGGGGAAUCUUCCACAAUGGACGAAAGUCUGAUGGAGCAACGCCGCGUGAGUGAAGAAGGGUUUCGGCUCGUAAAGCUCUGUUGUCGGGGACGAAUGUGCAGUAUUUGAAUAAAGUAGUGCAAUGACGGUACCUGACGAGGAAGCCACGGCUAACUACGUGCCAGCAGCCGCGGUAAUACGUAGGUGGCAAGCGUUGUCCGGAAUUAUUGGGCGUAAAGGGAGCGCAGGCGGGAAGAUAAGUCGGUCUUAAAAGUGCGGGGCUCAACCCCGUGAUGGGAUCGAAACUAUCUUUCUUGAGUGCAGGAGAGGAAAGUGGAAUUCCUAGUGUAGCGGUGAAAUGCGUAGAUAUUAGGAGGAACACCAGUGGCGAAGGCGACUUUCUGGACUGUAACUGACGCUGAGGCUCGAAAGCCAGGGGAGCGAACGGGAUUAGAAACCCCAGUAGUCC
rnacentral:rRNA from 1 species